CUUUCUUAUCUUCCUCUGAGCUUUCUGCUCUCCGAUUACGCUAUCAUUAUCAGAAAGAAGAAUCUCACAGUGCCUUGGUGGUAUAGUUUCUCCUAUGUAAGUUUUAUCCACGUAUAACCACUUGGAAGAGGGGAAGAAAUGCAGAUAAUGUAAUCUGAAAAUAACACAGAGAAGAAUGAUCCUAAAGAGGAGUGUAGACACAUUAUGGCAAAGGAGACACAGGCUACAAUGCUGAAACUUUGCUGCGUGAACAAUAAGCCAUGGAAGCUUGUUUAUUGCUAUCAGCUUUGUGAGAAAAUAUCAUUGUCUCCAGGUACACGUCAGGAAAUAUAACUCCAGCUUUAAUUUGAAUGGAUCGAAGAGUAGGGGACUAACCAGAGAGGAAGGACUUUCCUAAGACCAACCAGCAGCCUGACGACACAGAUGAAAUCUGAGCAGAUGCAGAUGAGUCACUGCCACUUCCAACAGCCAAGAGGCUUCUGUGCAUCAUCCAUAUUUCAUCAAGCAUGAACAAUUCCCACUGAAGUCAAAGGGAUUUUACCUGUUGUGUCUUUAGAUAUCCUGGGAUUUUUAUGAUGUCUGUGAUCUAAAAAUAUACUUUUCCUCUGCACAGUUUACAAGAUGUUCUGAAAGAUUAAGGAUAGCCAGAUUGUCAAUUGGCAGUCAUCGGUCAUUUGCCAUCAUUUUGUAGGUGGGAAAAUUGAGGCAC